UACAGAGGGUGCAAGCGUUAAUCGGAAUUACUGGGCGGAAAGCGUGCGUAGACGGUUGCGUAAGUCAGAUGUGAAAGCCCCGGGCUCAACCUGGGAAUUGCAUUUGAGACUGCGUGGCUAGGGUGCGGAAGAGGGAAGCGGAAUUUCCGGUGUAGCGGUGAAAUGCGUAGAUAUGCGGAGGAACACCGAUGGCGAAGGCAAUCCCCUGGGCCUGCACUGACGCUCAUGCACGAAAGCGUGGGGAGCAAACAGG
rnacentral:rRNA from 1 species